rnacentral:misc_RNA from 1 species
GAUGAAGAACGUAGUGAAAUGCGAUAAGUAGUGUGAAUUGCAGAAUUCAGUGAAUCAUCGAAUCUUUGAACGCACAUUGCGCCCCUUGGUAUCCCGAGGGGCAUGCCUGUUCGAGCGUCAUUUCACCACUCAAGCCUGGCUUGGUGUUGGGCGACGUCCCCUUUGGGGACGCGCCUCGAAACGCUCGGCGGCGUGGCACCGGCUUUAAGCGUAGCAGAAUCUUUCGCUUUGGAAGUCGGGGCCCCGUCUGCCGGAAGACCUACUCGCAAGAUUGACCUCGGAUCAGGCAGGGAUACCCGCUGAACUUAAGCAUAUCAAUAAGCGGAGGA